AAUUUUUAUGCCACCCACACUUGGUAAGUUUUCCCAUUCUUUUUGGCGACCCAUUUUCAUCCUCACUCUAUCUCCAAAAGAACUAGCGACCCGUUUUCUGUCUGGCUCUUCCCCGAAACCCUAGCCCUCUCCUCUUUCUCUCCCGUCUGUUCACGGCCACCACCGCCUCCCUCUCCUCCGCUCACUCCCCUACUGUGGUUUUUUAUUGUGAUUCUAUCAAGAAAUUGAAUGGGUAGCAGGCUCAGAUCAAAUUUGUAGGUUGCAGAGGUCUUCGCCAUUGAAGUUCCCUCCCUUCCCAUUUCAGUGAUUGAGUUUCUGGGCUGCGUUCCUCUGCUUCAGCGCCUACCCAGCUCCUCGCUCAAGAAAAUCGCCCAGCUCGUAAUUCCAAAGCACUACGAUAAAGGAGAGUAUGUUGUUCGUGAAGGUGAGGAUGGGAUUUGGGUUUACUUCAUUUGGGAAGGAGAGGUUAGUUUUUGUGAGGAGUGAACAGCGCCACUUCUAUCUCGCCGUCGACAGACUCCAGUUCAAUGUGGUAUCUUUAUCUCUCUUCAAUCUCCUUUAUUAUAUAUAUACUUUUCAGUCGGAGAUGUUGAGGUUAUAGUUAACUGAAUCUGUGAAUUGAAUUGAGCAUGAGAGAUUUAUGGACCUGUUGGGCGUAGCAGGAAGGCGUCCCUGUCUUCCAAUGGUGGUCUGCUGCAGCUCACGUGACGAGCUCGAAGCCGUCGGCUCUACCGUCACAACCACCCCCUAUAUCUCUUUAUCCCCUCUGUUGUCAAACUGCUGGGGAGUGGACAAUAUAUCCGUGGAUCCACAGAAAUUGUAAUUCGCUUUCAGAUGAUGACCAAACUUCGUCCCGUUUCAAUACCAGAUAUUCAUCCCGCUAGUGCAGGGAUUACUGAAGGCUUUUCUAUGUGUGGCGGUGACUUUGUUGAGGUUUAUAAUGAUCCAAGCCAAGUAGGAUAUGUCUAUUGAACUGAGUUUGGAGGACGUGAAGAGGGUUGCUUUACAUUAUGGAUUUCAUAUAGAGAAGGAAAAGACCAUUGAGACAACCUACACUACAAAUCCCAGAUCAAUGAUGCAACCUUUGGCUUCUGUUAAACUACAUUCUCAUUUGUGCUCAGUAGUUCAGGCCGGGUCACGUAGUAUAUUGAGCUGUUCAACAUUUGUUAUGUUUUCAAAGUGUCUUGUCCUGCUUCUAUUCCCGUUCCCAUCUUUGGAGAAUGUCACAAGACAUACUGGAAACUUAUGGAAAAUAAUGGUUGAGAAUGAUGGUUAGAAGUUAGAACCAUCGGCUCUACUCAAGUGAGUUGCUUCUAUGUAGGUGAUUUUGGGUUCGCAGCAUAGCGUACGUGGACAUUGCCAAAGCUCAACAUGGUAAAUUAAUUGCUUACUUAAGAUGCAACGUGGACAAUUGCUUACUACCACUCCCAAAGAGGAGCACUGCAAAGUUGCCAGAAUUUCAUGUAGUCUUGUUUAAUUCAUAUGGAGCAUCUGCUCUCAAUUAUGUUUGGAGCACUCCUCUAGCUUUUUGACCAUUGUCAUUUUAGGUGUAAAUGUCUCUUAUAAAUUAUAAGGAUCAUGAUCAAAGACAUAAAUUAAUGCAAUGCCCCAGUGUUGCAAUUACUUUUGAAUCA